rnacentral:rRNA from 1 species
AUGUGGAGUUGCAUCAGACUCUGGUUACAUGUAAAUUGGUCCCCUUCCUCCUUUGAAGACCUGCGGCAUUAUGUCAAUCUUCUUUCUGGCCAUUCUAAAAGAGUCUUCCUAGUUGGAUGGGCUGCGAUUGGCUGGUCGUUGUGGACUACUAGGAAUAAGUUCUCAAUUGAACAUAUUUUUCCGGCUAAUCCUGUCAAUUGCUUAUUUAAAGCCAAUGGUUUCUUGCAGCAGUGGAGAUUAUUGACUAAAGAAGGGGACCUCCAGGCCUUCGACGCCAUGCUAUCCAAGAUGAAAUCUACGGCGUCUGGGCUUCUUCGGCUUUCUUUGAGGACGGCUUCCUGA